rnacentral:rRNA from 1 species
UACAGAGGUCUCAAGCGUUGUUCGGAUUCAUUGGGCGUAAAGGGUGCGUAGGCGGCGCGGUAAGUCGGGUGUGAAAUCUCGGAGCUUAACUCCGAAACUGCAUUCGAUACUGUCGGGCUAGAGUCCGGAAGAGGCGAGUGGAAUUCCUGGUGUAGCGGUGGAAUGCGCAGAUAUCAGGAGGAACACCGAUGGCGAAGGCAGCUCGCUGGGACGGUACUGACGCUGAGGCGCGAAAGCGUGGGGAGCGAACAGG